GGUUAAGCGACUAAGCGUACACGGUGGAUGCCCUGGCAGUCAGAGGCGAUGAAGGACGUGCUAAUCUGCGAUAAGCGUCGGUAAGGUGAUAUGAACCGUUAUAACCGGCGAUUUCCGAAUGGGGAAACCCAGUGUGAUUCGUCACACUAUCAUUAACUGAAUCCAUAGGUUAAUGAGGCGAACCGGGGGAACUGAAACAUCUAAGUACCCCGAGGAAAAGAAAUCAACCGAGAUUCCCCCAGUAGCGGCGAGCGAACGGGGAGCAGCCCAGAGCCUGAAUCAGUGUGUGUGUUAGUGGAAGCGUCUGGAAAGGCGUGCGAUACAGGGUGACAGCCCCGUACACAAAAAUGCACAUACUGUGAGCUCGAUGAGUAGGGCGGGACACGUGGUAUCCUGUCUGAAUAUGGGGGGACCAUCCUCCAAGGCUAAAUACUCCUGACUGACCGAUAGUGAACCAGUACCGUGAGGGAAAGGCGAAAAGAACCCCGGCGAGGGGAGUGAAAAAGAACCUGAAACCGUGUACGUACAAGCAGUGGGAGCACAGAGCAAUCUGUGUGACUGCGUACCUUUUGUAUAAUGGGUCAGCGACUUAUAUUCUGUAGCAAGGUUAACCGAAUAGGGGAGCCGAAGGGAAACCGAGUCUUAACUGGGCGUUAAGUUGCAGGGUAUAGACCCGAAACCCGGUGAUCUAGCCAUGGGCAGGUUGAAGGUUGGGUAACACUAACUGGAGGACCGAACCGACUAAUGUUGAAAAAUUAGCGGAUGACUUGUGGCUGGGGGUGAAAGGCCAAUCAAACCGGGAGAUAGCUGGUUCUCCCCGAAAGCUAUUUAGGUAGCGCCUCGUGAAUUCAUCUCCGGGGGUAGAGCACUGUUUCGGCAAGGGGGUCAUCCCGACUUACCAACCCGAUGCAAACUGCGAAUACCGGAGAAUGUUAUCACGGGAGACACACGGCGGGUGCUAACGUCCGUCGUGAAGAGGGAAACAACCCAGACCGCCAGCUAAGGUCCCAAAGUCAUGGUUAAGUGGGAAACGAUGUGGGAAGGCCCAGACAGCCAGGAUGUUGGCUUAGAAGCAGCCAUCAUUUAAAGAAAGCGUAAUAGCUCACUGGUCGAGUCGGCCUGCGCGGAAGAUGUAACGGGGCUAAACCAUGCACCGAAGCUGCGGCAGCGACGCUUAUGCGUUGUUGGGUAGGGGAGCGUUCUGUAAGCCUGCGAAGGUGUGCUGUGAGGCAUGCUGGAGGUAUCAGAAGUGCGAAUGCUGACAUAAGUAACGAUAAAGCGGGUGAAAAGCCCGCUCGCCGGAAGACCAAGGGUUCCUGUCCAACGUUAAUCGGGGCAGGGUGAGUCGACCCCUAAGGCGAGGCCGAAAGGCGUAGUCGAUGGGAAACAGGUUAAUAUUCCUGUACUUGGUGUUACUGCGAAGGGGGGACGGAGAAGGCUAUGUUGGCCGGGCGACGGUUGUCCCGGUUUAAGCGUGUAGGCUGGUUUUCCAGGCAAAUCCGGAAAAUCAAGGCUGAGGCGUGAUGACGAGGCACUACGGUGCUGAAGCAACAAAUGCCCUGCUUCCAGGAAAAGCCUCUAAGCAUCAGGUAACAUCAAAUCGUACCCCAAACCGACACAGGUGGUCAGGUAGAGAAUACCAAGGCGCUUGAGAGAACUCGGGUGAAGGAACUAGGCAAAAUGGUGCCGUAACUUCGGGAGAAGGCACGCUGAUAUGUAGGUGAAGCGACUUGCUCGUGGAGCUGAAAUCAGUCGAAGAUACCAGCUGGCUGCAACUGUUUAUUAAAAACACAGCACUGUGCAAACACGAAAGUGGACGUAUACGGUGUGACGCCUGCCCGGUGCCGGAAGGUUAAUUGAUGGGGUCAGCGCAAGCGAAGCUCUUGAUCGAAGCCCCGGUAAACGGCGGCCGUAACUAUAACGGUCCUAAGGUAGCGAAAUUCCUUGUCGGGUAAGUUCCGACCUGCACGAAUGGCGUAAUGAUGGCCAGGCUGUCUCCACCCGAGACUCAGUGAAAUUGAACUCGCUGUGAAGAUGCAGUGUACCCGCGGCAAGACGGAAAGACCCCGUGAACCUUUACUAUAGCUUGACACUGAACAUUGAGCCUUGAUGUGUAGGAUAGGUGGGAGGCUUUGAAGUGUGGACGCCAGUCUGCAUGGAGCCGACCUUGAAAUACCACCCUUUAAUGUUUGAUGUUCUAACGUUGACCCGUAAUCCGGGUUGCGGACAGUGUCUGGUGGGUAGUUUGACUGGGGCGGUCUCCUCCUAAAGAGUAACGGAGGAGCACGAAGGUUGGCUAAUCCUGGUCGGACAUCAGGAGGUUAGUGCAAUGGCAUAAGCCAGCUUGACUGCGAGCGUGACGGCGCGAGCAGGUGCGAAAGCAGGUCAUAGUGAUCCGGUGGUUCUGAAUGGAAGGGCCAUCGCUCAACGGAUAAAAGGUACUCCGGGGAUAACAGGCUGAUACCGCCCAAGAGUUCAUAUCGACGGCGGUGUUUGGCACCUCGAUGUCGGCUCAUCACAUCCUGGGGCUGAAGUAGGUCCCAAGGGUAUGGCUGUUCGCCAUUUAAAGUGGUACGCGAGCUGGGUUUAGAACGUCGUGAGACAGUUCGGUCCCUAUCUGCCGUGGGCGCUGGAGAACUGAGGGGGGCUGCUCCUAGUACGAGAGGACCGGAGUGGACGCAUCACUGGUGUUCGGGUUGUCAUGCCAAUGGCACUGCCCGGUAGCUAAAUGCGGAAGAGAUAAGUGCUGAAAGCAUCUAAGCACGAAACUUGCCCCGAGAUGAGUUCUCCCUGACUCCUUGAGAGUCCUGAAGGAACGUUGAAGACGACGACGUUGAUAGGCCGGGUGUGUAAGCGCAGCGAUGCGUUGAGCUAACCGGUACUAAUGAACCGUGAGGCUUAACCUU
rnacentral:rRNA from 1 species